rnacentral:rRNA from 1 species
UACGUAGGGGGCAAGCGUUGUCCGGAAUCAUUGGGCGUAAAGCGCGUGUAGGCGGCUCGGUAAGUCUGCUCUGAAAGUCCAAGGCUCAACCUUGGGAUGCGGGUGGAUACUGCCGGGCUCGAGUCCGGAAGAGGCGAGUGGAAUUCCCGGUGUAGCGGUGAAAUGCGCAGAUAUCGGGAGGAACACCAAUGGCGAAGGCAGCUCGCUGGGACGUGACUGACGCUGAGACGCGAAAGCGUGGGGAGCAAACAGG